GACGAACGCUGGCGGCGUGCUUAACACAUGCAAGUCGAACGGAGUUAAUUCUUCGGAAUUAACUUAGUGGCGAACGGGUGAGUAACGCGUGAGGAACCUGCCUCUCAGUGGGGGACAACAGUUGGAAACGACUGCUAAUACCGCAUAAUGUUAUUGAACGGCAUCGUUUAAUGACCAAAGAUUUAUUGCUGAGAGAUGGCCUCGCGUCCGAUUAGGUAGUUGGUGAGGUAACGGCCCACCAAGCCGACGAUCGGUAGCCGACCUGAGAGGGUGAUCGGCCACAUUGGGACUGAGACACGGCCCAA
rnacentral:rRNA from 1 species